rnacentral:rRNA from 1 species
UACGAAGGGGGCUAGCGUUGCUCGGAAUCACUGGGCGUAAAGGGCGCGUAGGCGGCCAUUCAAGUCGGGGGUGAAAGCCUGUGGCUCAACCACAGAAUUGCCUUCGAUACUGUUUGGCUUGAGUUUGGUAGAGGUUGGUGGAACUGCGAGUGUAGAGGUGAAAUUCGUAGAUAUUCGCAAGAACACCAGUGGCGAAGGCGGCUCACUGGCCCGAUACUGACGCUGAGGCACGAAAGCGUGGGGAGCAAACAGG